GUGCCAGCAGCCGCGGUAAUACGUAGGUGGCAAGCGUUGUCCGGAUUUAUUGGGUUUAAAGGGUGCGUAGGCGGUUUUUUAAGUCAGUGGUGAAAUACGUCAGCUUAACUGGCGAGGUGCCAUUGAUACUGGGGAACUUGAGUACUGAUGAGGUAGGCGGAAUGGACGGUGUAGCGGUGAAAUGCUUAGAUAUCGUCCAGAACACCGAUAGCGAAGGCAGCUUACUAAAGAGUAACUGACGCUGAGGCACGAAAGUGUGGGGAUCAAACAGGAUUAGAAACCCCCGUAGUCC
rnacentral:rRNA from 1 species